rnacentral:rRNA from 1 species
AUGACGACUGCCGCAACAAGGCACACAUCGCCCGCGCUUCAGCGACCGAUGAAGAACUGCACCCCGAGCCACGGCCCGGACAGGGACAGGUGGCGACUGGUGCCCCGUGCCGCCAUGCCCCGUGCUGCUGUGCGGCAGGCCGCCAACCCCGACCCUCCUGCUUGUUCGACCGUUUGUGGCACGUCCAUCCACCGCCGGUGUAGCAGCUGGCUGCCGCUGUUCAUCACCACCACCGCACCACUCGUCCUCUUCCAUGCCGGUCGCCGGCUCGCCGCCUUCUGUCCUCUUCUGGUGCUCAACCUCGCAACUGAAGGUGACCAAGCUACUACUUCUCCUGAGAGGAUACCAAACAGACCAAUGUCAUUUAUUAGCUGUGAAAAAAUAGAUUAUCUGAAAUGUUUUACAUAUUUGGAGGACUUGAUUAUGUUUUCUAUAUCGGAAUCUGAACAUGAUGAGUUGAACGAGAAAGAUGACACAUUUAUGAGUAUAGAGGAAGAGGCGGAUGCAGAAGCAGUUGCCGCAAUAGGAGGUGACGAGUCCGUCUUACAUAGUAUCAUUGAAGAUGAAGAUGCCGAACCAAAUAUUGUCGAAGGUGCCAAUAUAGAAGCUACUCGAGAUGACAAGCCAAAAGGACAGAAGCAUAUGGCCUCAAGAUCACAAAUCUGGGAGCAUUUCACCAAAGGUUUUGAUGAUAAGGGGUUAGUGAAGGAAGGAAUGUGCAAAUAUUGUGACCGACCAAUUCAAGCUACUACAACAUGA